rnacentral:rRNA from 1 species
UAAUACGGAGGGCGCAAGCGUUGUUCGGAAUCACUGGGCGUAAAGCGCGUGUAGGCGGCCGGGCAAGUCGGAUGUGAAAUCCCGAGGCUCAACCUCGGAACUGCAUUCGAAACUGCUCGGCUCGAGUCCCGGAGAGGAUGGCAGAAUUCCCGGUGUAGGGGUGAAAUCCGUAGAUAUCGGGAGGAAUACCAGUGGCGAAGGCGGCCAUCUGGACGGUGACUGACGCUGAGACGCGAAAGCGUGGGGAGCAAACAGGAUUAGAUACCCUGGUAGUCCACGCCGUAAACGGUGAGUGCUAGACGUCGCGGGUAUUGACCCCCGCGGUGUCGAAGCUAACGCGUUAAGCACUCCGCCUGGGGAGUACGGCCGCAAGGCUA